AGUUUAACAGCGUGGGUAACCUGCCUCAUACACAUGGAUAACAUACCGAAAGGUAUGCUAAUACAGGAUAAUAUAAGAGAUUCACAUGGAUUUCUUAUCAAAGCUCCGGCGGUAUGAGAUGGACCCGCGUCUGAUUAGCUAGUUGGUAAGGUAAUGGCUUACCAAGGCGACGAUCAGUAGCCGACCUGAGAGGGUGAUCGGCCACAUUGGAACUGAGACACGGUCCAAACUCAUACGGGAGGCAGCAGUGGGGAAUAUUGCACAAUGGGCGAAAGCCUGAUGCAGCAACGCCGCGUGAGUGAUGAAGGCCUUCGGGUCGUAAAACUCUGUCCUCAAGGAAGAUAAUGACGGUACUUGAGGAGGAAGCCCCGGCUAACUACGUGCCAGCAGCCGCGGUAAUACGUAGGGGGCUAGCGUUAUCCGGAUUUACUGGGCGUAAAGGGUGCGUAGGUGGUUUUUUAAGUCAGGAGUGAAAGGCUACGGCUCAACCGUAGUAAGCUCUUGAAACUGGAAAACUUGAGUGCAGGAGAGGAAAGUGGAAUUCCUAGUGUAGCGGUGAAAUGCGUAGAUAUUAGGAGGAACACCAGUAGCGAAGGCGGCUUUCUGGACUGUAACUGACACUGAGGCACGAAAGCGUGGGGAGCAAACAGGAUUAGAUACCCUGGUAGUCCACGCCGUAAACGAUGAGUACUAGGUGUCGGGGGUUACCCCCCUCGGUGCCGCAGCUAACGCAUUAAGUACUCCGCCUGGGGAGUACGCUCGCAGAU
rnacentral:rRNA from 1 species